rnacentral:snoRNA from 1 species
UUGCAGCCAAUUAAGCCGACUGUGCUCUUUUCCCCAUGGGGGCCCAGUGUGCAAUGGCUGCAAACAGCAGCCUCCUUGGUAGCGUAUGCAACCUGUUGCCUGUACAGGUAGCCCUAAGGGACCUUGGAGACAACU